GAUGAACGCUGGCGGCGUGCCUAAUACAUGCAAGUCGAGCGAACGGACGAGAAGCUUGCUUCUCUGAUGUUAGCGGCGGGCGGGUGAGUAACACGUGGAUAACCUACCUAUAAGACUGGGAUAACUUCGGGAAACCGUAGCUAAUACCGGAUAAUAUUUUGAACCGCAUGGUUCAAAAGUGAAAGACGGUCUUGCUGUCACUUAUAGAUGGAUCCGCGCUGCAUUAGCUAGUUGGUAAGGUAACGGCUUACCAAGGCAACGAUGCAUAGCCGACCUGAGAGGGUGAUCGGCCACACUGGAACUGAGACACGGUCCAGACUCCUACGGGAGGCAGCAGUAGGGAAUCUUCCGCAAUGGGCGAAAGCCUGACGGAGCAACGCCGCGUGAGUGAUGAAGGUCUUCGGAUCGUAAAACUCUGUUGUUAGGGAAGAACAUAUGUGUAAGUAACUGUGCACAUCUUGACGGUACCUAAUCAGAAAGCCACGGCUAACUACGUG
rnacentral:rRNA from 1 species